rnacentral:lncRNA from 10 species
CCCAGGCAGGGCUGGUGCCUCAUCUGACCUCUCAUACUCCCCACGCAUGGGCCCACAGGGUCUGGGCUGGCACAGGGCCCUGGAUGUGUCCCUCCAUGGAGAGAUGUCAGGGAGCCCUGGCCAGAUGGCCCAAAUGAUGAAUGUCUCCCAGGGAUGUGCCAGCCUUUCCUCCACACUGGGCCAGCAGGUGUCAAGGCAGUGGUGAUGCUUUGGGACCAAAGCCAACCUUGGAUAGCUCCUCUGAUUUGAGCUUCCUCUGAGCCCUCAACUGCCCCCCUACCAGGAUCCCACAGCCUCCUAAUAGAGCUCCCCACCUGCCUCAGCUCAUUCUCCACUUGGCAAGCAGAGAGCACCUGCUCACAUGCAGAUCUGUGAUGCUCCCUGCCUCAAACUCUCCAUGGCUCCCCAGUGCCUCAGGACAAAGUCUUGGUCUGGUUCCCAGUGUCUGCUGCCCCAUCCCCAGCCCUCACUCUAUCAGAGAAAAUAGGGCAGGUCCCCAAACUGUCACCCCCUUGAGCCCUUGUCCCCCACAUUGCCUCCACCUGGAGAACUCAUUCUACCCAGCCACUGGCCACCAGCACUCUAUAAACCAUUCCUGUUCUCUCUGACUGCUCCACAUCGGUCCCCCUGCAGUACCUCUUGCCACCCGUCCUGGGCCAUGAGACACUUUGGGGCACUGCUUUUCACUUGUCUAUCACCCACUCCAGGCUGUGGACUCAGGGCCGAGGCUCUACUUGGCUCAUCUCCAUGCCUGGGCCUGGCACACAGUAAGUGUUGAAUGAAUAAGUGAACGCGCCUAUUUUAUAGACAAGGCACAUGAGUCCCAAUACAGCAGCGACAGUGACUCUGGGCCACAGUGGAGUGCAGGCACGGGGCUUCUACGAGACAUCCUCUGAGGGUGUGAGCUGGUUUCUGGGCCCCCUGAGAUGUGGGACCAUGAUCCGCCCACUCCCACCUCACUCCAGGUCAGGCCCCAGCAGGGAACAGCAGAUUCGACCACCCCUCUAGGACCAGGAGGAAGGUGACCCCUGGAGCCAUCUUUGGGGACCUUUGAGAACACUUCUAGGGCCUGGAUCACCCAGGGCACCUGUUCUGCAGAGCCAGGAGCUUCUGGACAGGCCCCAGGCUAACCUCAGGGCCCCUCUCUGCCUCCAGGCAGGGCAAAGGUGGGCAGCGCCAGGAGGGUGCGGUAGGAGCCAGAGGCGUUGGGGAGAGGCCAGCCUGAUUUAUGAGGCAAGCAGGGAUGGGAUCACUUGGCAAGGUGGGCAUGCACGACAGACCCUCAGAGAUAAGAGCCCAGAGGUAUGCAAGCGAUGUAAACAGCUGGGAGCGGGCACCCCAGCUCUCCCGUACCAGCCAGAGACACCCAGACCGGGGAAGGGCAAAGCAGCCAUCUCAGAUGGAAGAAGGCCCCAUGGCCUCCCAGGACCGGGCCUCACUCCUGCUCCAGCCAGCCCGGACCCCUUGUUCCACGUCAUCAUUUCAACCGUGCCUAACUCUGCAUCCUCUCUCAAGGCAAACCUAGUCUCAGAAUUUUUCCUGGGUCCUUCAGGGCCCAACAACACUGCACCAGAGCAGGCCACCCCACCUCUCACUGACACCACCGCUUCCAUCUUCCAGACCUGAUUGUGUCACUUUGCUGCUGGGUCCCUGCUGCCUUCAGGAUGACACCCAAGCCCCUUAGCCUGGACGUGAGCCCCUCAUGACCAGACCCUGCCAGCCUCUCCUCCUUUGCAGUUCAUCAUGGCCCUCCUUAAGCUCAGCCAUCCUGACCUCCUGCACUUUCCUGAGUGUGCCCAGCAUUUCUUGCCACCUCUGGGCCUUUGCAGACGUGAUGCCUUGGCUCUAAUAGCCUUCUCUGCUCUGAUCUGCUGGUGAACUCCUAUGCAACCUUCAAAACCCAUCUCAUAGGUGCCCUCCUCCAGAGUCAUUCCUGCCUCUCUAAGGUCCCUGACCUCCACCUUGCGCUGUUGAGGACUCAGAAUCUCCAAGUUCAUGGCUGGGCGUGGUAGCUCAUGCCUGUAAUCCCAGCACUUCGGAAAGCAGAGACAGGAGGAUCACUUGAGCCCAGGAGUUCAAGACUAGCCUGGGCAACAAAGUAAGACCCCAUGUCUACAAAAAAAGUUUAAAAAAUUAGCC